rnacentral:rRNA from 1 species
CUACGGAGGAUCCGAGCGUUAUCCGGAUUUAUUGGGUUUAAAGGGUGCGCAGGCGGCCAUUUAAGUCAGCGGUUAAAUCGCGGGGCUCAACCCCAUUCUGCCGUUGAUACUGGGUGGCUUGAUUGCGGUCGAGGUUGGCGGAAUUCGCUGUGUAGCGGUGAAAUGCAUAGAUAUGACGAAGAACACCGAUUGCGUAGGCAGCUGACCAGACCGCAAAUGACGCUCAUGCACGAAAGUGCGGGGAUCGAACAGGAUUAGAUACCCUGGUAGUCCGCACAGUAAACGAUGAAUACUUGUUUUCGGCGAUAUAAUGUCGGAGGCAAAGCGAAAGCGAUAAGUAUUCCACCUGGGGAGUACGCCGGCAACGGUGAAACUCAAAUGAAUUGGCGGGG